GACGAACGCUGGCGGCGUGCCUAAUACAUGCAAGUAGAACGCUGAAGGAGGAGCUUGCUUCUCUGGAUGAGUUGCGAACGGGUGAGUAACGCGUAGGUAACCUGCCUGGUAGCGGGGGAUAACUAUUGGAAACGAUAGCUAAUACCGCAUAAGAGUAGAUGUUGCAUGACAUUUGCUUAAAAGGUGCAAUUGCAUCACUACCAGAUGGACCUGCGUUGUAUUAGCUAGUUGGUGGGGUAACGGCUCACCAAGGCGACGAUACAUAGCCGACCUGAGAGGGUGAUCGGCCAAACUGGGACUGAGACACGGCCCAGAAUCCUACGGGAGGCAGCAGUAGGGAAACUUCGGCAAUGGAGGGAAGUCUGACCGAGCAACGCCGCGUGAGUGAAGAAGGUUUUCGGAUCGUAAAGCUCUGUUGUAAGAGAAGAACGAGUGGGAGAGUGGAAAGUUCACACUGUGACGGUAGCUUACCAGAAAGGGACGGCUAACUACGUG
rnacentral:rRNA from 1 species